rnacentral:rRNA from 1 species
AGUGAACGCUGGCGGUAGGCCUAACACAUGCAAGUCGAACGGCAGCACAGUAAGAGCUUGCUCUUACGGGUGGCGAGUGGCGGACGGGUGAGGAAUACAUCGGAAUCUACUUUUUCGUGGGGAUAACGUAGGGAAACUUACGCUAAUACCGCAUACGACCUACGGGUGAAAGCAGGGGAUCUUCGGACCUUGCGCGAUUGAAUGAGCCGAUGUCGGAUUAGCUAGUUGGCGGGGUAAAGGCCCACCAAGGCGACGAUCCGUAGCUGGUCUGAGAGGAUGAUCAGCCACACUGGAACUGAGACACGGUCCAGACUCCUACGGGAGGCAGCAGUGGGGAAUCUUGGACAAUGGGCGCAAGCCUGAUCCAGCCAUACCGCGUGGGUGAAGAAGGCCUUCGGGUUGUAAAGCCCUUUUGUUGGGAAAGAAAAGCAGCAGGUUAAUACCCCGCUGUUCUGACGGUACCCAAAGAAUAAGCACCGGCUAACUUCGUG